GACGAACGCUGGCGGCGUGCUUAACACAUGCAAGUCGAACGGAAAGGCCCUGCUUUUGUGGGGUGCUCGAGUGGCGAACGGGUGAGUAACACGUGAGUAACCUGCCCUUGACUUUGGGAUAACUUCAGGAAACUGGGGCUAAUACCGGAUAGGAGCUCCUGCUGCAUGGUGGGGGUUGGAAAGUUUCGGCGGUUGGGGAUGGACUCGCGGCUUAUCAGCUUGUUGGUGGGGUAGUGGCUUACCAAGGCUUUGACGGGUAGCCGGCCUGAGAGGGUGACCGGCCACAUUGGGACUGAGAUACGGGCCAGACUGCUACGGGAGGCAGCAGUGGAGAAUAUUGCACGAUGGGCGGAAGCAUGAUGCAGCAACGCCGCGUGCGGGAUGACGGCCUUCGGGUUGUAAACCGCUUUCGCCUGUGACGAAGCGUGAGUGACGGUAACGGGUAAAGAAGCAACGGCUAACUACGUG
rnacentral:rRNA from 1 species